GCAGCAGGGAAUAUUGCGCAAUGAGCGAAAGCUUGACGCAGCGACACCGCGUGUGGGAUGACGGAUCUAGGUUUGUAAACCACUUUCAGGAGGGAAGAAAAUGACGGUACCUCCACAAGAAGCCCCGGCCAACUACGUGCCAGCAGCCGCGGUAAUACGUAGGGGGCGAGCGUUGUCCGGAUUUAUUGGGCGUAAAGAGCUCGUAGGCGGUUCAACAAGUCGGUCGUAAAAGUUCAGGGCUCAACCCUGAAAUGUCGAUCGAUACUGUUGUGACUAGGAUACGGUAGAGGUGAGUGGAAUUCCGAGUGUAGCGGUGAAAUGCGUAGAUAUUCGGAGGAACACCAAUUGCGAAGGCAGCUCACUGGGCCGCUAUCGACGCUGAGGAGCGAAAGCUAGGGGAGCAAACAGGAUUAGAUACCCUGGUAGUCCUAGCUGUAAACGAUGGAUACUAGACGUAGGAACUGGA
rnacentral:rRNA from 1 species